GAUGAACGCUGGCGGCGUGCCUAAUACAUGCAAGUCGAACGAGUGGCGGACGGGUGAGUAAUGUCUGGGAAACUGCCCGAUGGAUGGGGAUAACUACUGGAAACGGUAGCUAAUACCGCAUACCAUCGGAUGUGCCCAUAGGGGCUUAGCUAGUAGGUGGGGUAACGGCUCACCUCGGCGACGAUCCCUAGCUGGUCUGAGAGGAUGACAAGCCACACGGGAACUGGGACACGGUCCAGACGCCUAGGGGAGGAAGAAGUGGGGAAUAUUGCGCAAUGGGCGCAAGCCUGAUGCAGCCAUGCCGCGUGUAUGAAGAAGGCCUGAGGGUUGUAAAGUACUUUCAGCGGGGAGGCGGUACCCGCAGAAGAAGCACCGGCUAACUCCGUGCCAGCAGCCGCGGUAAUUC
rnacentral:rRNA from 1 species